rnacentral:rRNA from 1 species
GACGAACGCUGGCGGCGUGCUUAACACAUGCAAGUCGAACGGAAAGGCCCUGCAUUUGUGGGGUGCUCGAGUGGCGAACGGGUGAGUAACACGUGAGUAACCUGCCCUUGACUUUGGGAUAACGUCAGGAAACUGGGGCUAAUACCGGAUAGGAGCUCCUGCUGCAUGGUGGGGGUUGGAAAGUUUCGGCGGUUGGGGAUGGACUCGCGGCUUAUCAGCUUGUUGGUGGGGUAGUGGCUUACCAAGGCCUUGACGGGUAGCCGGCCUGAGAGGGUGACCGGCCACAUUGGGACUGAGAUACGGCCCAGACUCCUACGGGAGGCAGCAGUGGGGAAUAUUACACAAUGGGGGGAAGCCUGAUGCAGCAACGCCGCGUGCGGGAUGACGGCCUUCGGGUUGUAAACCGCUUUCGCCUGUGACGAAGCGUGAGUGACGGUAAUGGGUAAAGAAGCACCGGCUAACUACGUG